rnacentral:rRNA from 1 species
UACAGAGGGUGCGAGCGUUAAUCGGAAUUACUGGGCGUAAAGGGCGCGUAGGCGGUUAUAUAAGUUAGAUGUGAAAUCCCUGGGCUUAACCUAGGAACUGCAUCUAAGACUGUAUAACUGGAGUGCAGUAGAGGGUAGUGGAAUUUCCGGUGUAGCGGUGAAAUGCGUAGAUAUCGGAAGGAACACCAGUGGCGAAGGCGGCUACCUGGACUGACACUGACGCUGAGGCGCGAGAGCGUGGGGAGCAAACAGG